rnacentral:rRNA from 1 species
GACGAACGCUGGCGGCGUGCUUAACACAUGCAAGUCGAACGGAAAGGCCCUGCUUUUGUGGGGUGCUCGAGUGGCGAACGGGUGAGUAACACGUGAGUAACCUGCCCUUGACUUUGGGAUAACUUCAGGAAACUGGGGCUAAUACCGGAUAGGAGCUCCUGCUGCAUGGUGGGGGUUGGAAAGUUUCGGCGGUUGGGGAUGGACUCGCGGCUUAUCAGCUUGUUGGUGGGGUGGUGGCUUACCAAGGCUUUGACGGGUAGCCGGCCUGAGAGGGUGACCGGCCACAUUGGGACUGAGAUACGGCCCAGACUCCUACGGAGGCAGCAGUGGGGAAUAUUGCACAAUGGGCGGAAGCCUGAUGCAGCAACGCCGCGUGCGGGAUGACGGCCUUCGGGUUGUAAACCGCUUUCGCCUGUGACGAAGCGUGAGUGACGGUAAUGGGUAAAGAAGCACCGGCUAACUACGUG